AUACGGAGGAUGCGAGCGUUAUCCGGAUUCAUUGGGUAUAAAGGGUGCGUAGGCGGCCCCCCAAGUCAGCGGUGAAAUGUCCGGGCCCAACCCGGAGGGUGCCGUUGAUACUGCGGGGCUGGAGUACGGACGCCGGCGGAGGAAUGCGUGGUGUAGCGGUGAAAUGCAUAGAUAUCACUCAGAACACCGAUUGCGAAGGCAUCCGCCGAGGCCGUUACUGACGCUGAGGCACGAAAGCGUGGGGAUAGAACAGGAUUAGAUACCCUGGUAUUCCACGCCGUAAACGAUGAUGACCAACCGCCGGGCGGAGUGACGUCCGGCAGCCAAGCGAAAGCGAUAAGUCAUCCACCUGGGGAGUACGGCCGCAAGGCUGAAACUCAAAUGAAUUGGCGGGG
rnacentral:rRNA from 1 species